rnacentral:lncRNA from 1 species
CUCACCCCACCGUGGUCACCCAAUGCCUCUGGACCUCCUUUCAGCUGGGGAACUAACAACAGGGAAGAGGAAAGCUGCCCCUUAACACAGAGAACCUGGCCCUGAUCCUGGUGCAGAAGAGCAAUGAGGAGCUGCACUGACAUCAAUCUGCUGUAAGCAGGAGCAUCACAGAGCCCUGCAUUGGAUGUUUUCCACCAUCCAGAGUGAACGGGUGGACUCCUGUCAAGCAGACGAGCCUCAAUGUACACAGUCCUCCUCCUUAGAUGGAUGUCGCUAUCCACAGCAGGCAGCUUUGCUGGUCUUUUUUUCCUCCCCCUCACCAUUGCUGCCAAGAGAAGAGGAGGGCUGUGGUCAGUGGCACCACCGAGGGACACGUGGACUGACAGUGUGCCAACACAGUGAGCAGAAAGCUGCAGUCUGGAGCUCCAUAAACGUGCAAAAGCAGAGCUGCUAUGAACCACUGACAGCACUGGGAUCACCAGCACAAGGGAGGUAUGUGACACUUCCUUCUUACUUGUGGUUCAGAUGGUCUCUCUGGAGAUAGCAAUGCUGGAACAUUGGGUCCUUUGCCCUCCAAACAAACAGGAGGGAUUGCUAAGCUUGGGAUGUCUUCUCCAGUGUAUGUGCUUCGAGGUCUUCCUUCCAUAUCUCCCUGUGGUCUUCAUGCUGGAGACAUUCAUUAACCACAGUCGGUGUUGACCUGCUCUUUCAGUAUCAUCUGUAUACUGCAAUAAAAGCACAUAUGCUGUCCCCA